AGCUUUGCACAGUGGCAGUAUCAUAACCAAUGAAUAUAUCUGAGGUGUGAUUAUUGCUAGUUGAAAUCCGCUCCUCUCCCCCUUCCUGGUGUAGAUGGUACAGUCUACUGUAGACAGCAGAAACUG
rnacentral:snRNA from 1 species